rnacentral:tRNA from 1 species
GGGGUAGUGGUGAAACUGGCAAACACGCCCGACCUGGAAUCGGGUGGCGUGAUGCCCACGCCUUGCGGGUUCGAUCCCCGCCUACCCCA